CAAAAAAUUAUCAAGAGCAUUCGGUGGAUGCCUUGGCUCUCAGAGGCGAUGAAGGACGCGACAAGCUGCGAUAAGCUGCGGGUAGAUGCAAAUAAUCACCAAUCCGCAGGUUUCCGAAUGGGGCAACCCACUAUGUUGAAGACAUAGUAUCUAUUUAUAGAAGCCAACCCGAUGAACUGAAACAUCUAAGUAGUCGGAGGAAAAGAAAACAAAAGUGAUUCUCCUAGUAGUGGCGAGCGAACGGGGAAUAGCCCAAACCAUUAUUGUUUCGGCAAUUUUGGGGUUGUAGGACUGUAACAUGGACUUAUUAAUAUUAGUAGAACAGCGAUGGAAACGCUACCAGAGAGGGUGAUAGUCCCGUACAUGAAAAUAUUAAUAUACCUAACAGUAUCCUGA
rnacentral:rRNA from 1 species